GGGCAUACAACAGCAUUAGGUCUUUUGACUUUUAAUCAAGUUGUCCGGGGUUCGAAUCCCCGCACGCUCA
rnacentral:tRNA from 1 species